UACGUAGGGGGCAAGCGUUGUUCGGAAUUACUGGGCGUAAAGGGCGCGUAGGCGGCUCGGCAAGUCGGGAGUGAAAGCCCGGGGCUCAACCCCGGAACGUCUUUCGAAACUGCCGAGCUAGAGUGCGGAAGGGGCAACUGGAAUUCCCAGUGUAGCGGUGAAAUGCGUAGAUAUUGGGAAGAACACCUGAGGCGAAGGCGGGUUGCUGGGCCGACACUGACGCUGAGGCACGAAAGCCAGGGGAGCGAACGGG
rnacentral:rRNA from 1 species